GGGCCUGUAGCGCAGUUCGGGAGCGCACCUCAAUGGCAUUGAGGGGGUCGAGGGUUCGAGUCCCUCCAGGUCCACAA
rnacentral:tRNA from 1 species